rnacentral:rRNA from 1 species
GACGAACCGUCCAAACGUUAUUCGGAAUUACUGGGCUUAAAGGGUGCGUAGGCGGCGCGGAAAGUUGGGUGUGAAAUCCCUCGGCCCAACCGAGGAACUGCGCCCGAGACUGCUUCUCUUGAGUCCCGGAGAGGAAGGUGGAAUUCCCGGUGUAGCGGUGAAAUGUGUAGAGAUCGGGAGGAACACCGGUGGCGAAGGCGGCCUUCUGGACGGUGACUGACGCUGAGGCGCGAAAGCGUGGGGAGCAAACGGG